UACAGAGGGGGCAAGCGUUGUUCGGAAUUACUGGGCGUAAAGGGUGCGUAGGCGGGUCUUUAAGUCAGGGGUGAAAUCCUGGAGCUCAACUCCAGAACUGCCUUUGAUACUGAAGAUCUUGAGUUCGGGAGAGGUGAGUGGAACUGCGAGUGUAGAGGUGAAAUUCGUAGAUAUUCGCAAGAACACCAGUGGCGAAGGCGGCUCACUGGCCCGAUACUGACGCUGAGGCACGAAAGCGUGGGGAGCAAACAGG
rnacentral:rRNA from 1 species